rnacentral:lncRNA from 1 species
GUAGGCGGAGAGGCCGUGGGUUGGCGGGCGCGUGGGCCGGAAAGGCGGCGGUGCCGCAGACCGACUGCGGGGUGAGCCGGCCUAACGCCAUCGGCAGGGACGGCGACCUGGCCGAGUCACCUGCAGGGCGCUGGUGCUUGUGAGACCCAGGCCCGGAAGGAGCGAGGCUCCGCCCGACCCGCAGCCCCGCGCUCGGCCCGACCGUCGGGAUCGGAAGAGGGUUCUGCAGCCCAGCGAGUGCUGCCCCCUCUUACUGAACCCUCCCCGAGUGUCCCCUGCGUUCUCCACGUACAUCCUCCAUGUUUGUAUCAGUCCUAAAUUCCUGUCCACUCUCCUGCUCAUCCGCUGCUUUCAUCGUGGAGCUGUGUUGUCUCUUCUUAAAAAGUGUGAUUUCCAGCAAUGGAAGGUGCAUACCCGGUUCUGCAAGAAGUGGGAGAGGAAUUGGAAAAGAAGAAGACAACUGAACUGAAGAAUAGUAGAUUCUCCUUAGCUGCAUGUUAACAAUGAAAUGUUAAUAAUUUUUGUCUUUGGAAGCAAAACUGACACCUUCCCUUGCUUCCAUUAUGGAUAAGUGUGUACAUCCUGCCUGACAGUCAAGGGGAGAGUUUACCCAUGAGGACAAACCAAAACAAACAAACAAACAAAAACAGAGAUACCCUGUGUGGGUCUCGAGCCUUUCCUGUAAGUUACUGGCUCACUAUUAACACAGCGUUAUUCGUUCCUGACCUUUGCAGUUGUGACGUAUGAACCUAUAUGACUGUGCCAGCUAUUAAGCUCUCCGUCUCUCAGCUCCAAACCACCCUCCUAUAUCCUACUGUGUGAUGCAGGUCUGGAACCCGACAAAUCCUGUGCUUGCUUUGCUAGCUGGCUCCCUAGCAAGAUCUUCCAAUAAGGACACUAAAGGGAAGCCCAAGGCUGGAGGAGGAAAGGGGACUAUCUUUCCUAUGGGCUUCUUCUCGGCUCCGUUGGCUUCCUGUUCCUGGGAGAUCUCCUAGCAACUUUUUGCACUCUGAUGGCGGCAGUUUAUUUCCCACAGCAGAAGUUGAAACCAGUUUGCAAUGUCUCUAUCACUCAUGGAACCAGCCUCACACACCCCCUCACAGGCACCAGCUUGUGCCUUCUCCUCGGGGGUCUGGGUCCUAGCUCCAUGGGGACCACCCUCUGAACUCAGAGACACCAGCACCUACCAAGCAACAUCCCUCCCUCAGAGAUCUGAGUUUCACCUCCGUGGGACCCUCCCUUCAAACUUCUGAGUUCUAAUUAUUUCAGCCCCCUUUUUUUGUUUCCACAGCCCUAGAGGAGAAAGCUGCUUCCAUGAUAAGGACGUCAAGUUUUCCCACUAACGGGCUCUGUGGUGAUUGUGAAGGCUACGUGAAGUUUGUAUUGAUAAAGUUUGUACCAGGAAAGAAGAAGACGUCAGCUACCACCUCUGCUUCAAAUGACUCUUCUGCUUCUCUCUGGUGACCCUUUUCCGCUCACUCGUCCUUCCCUGCAUGCCUUCGGAGUCUGAGAACUCUCAAUCUAGCCAAACAACCAGACUCAAAGAUGCAAGAACCUGAAAAGCAAAGUGGACUCUGGAAUAAGCAAAACAAUCUUCUCUUUUUCAGACCAUGUUUCCUC